ACCUGGCCUUGACAUACUAGAAACUUUCCAGAGAUGGAUUGGUGCCUUCGGGAAUCUAGAUACAGGUGCUGCAUGGCUGUCGUCAGCUCGUGUCGUGAGAUGUUGGGUUAAGUCCCGCAACGAGCGCAACCCUUUUCCUUACUUGCCAGCAUUUCGGAUGGGAACUUUAAGGAUACUGCCAGUGACAAACUGGAGGAAGGCGGGGACGACGUCAAGUCAUCAUGGCCCUUACGGCCAGGGCUACACACGUGCUACAAUGGUCGGUACAAAGGGUUGCUACACAGCGAUGUGAUGCUAAUCUCAAAAAGCCGAUCGUAGUCCGGAUUGGAGUCUGCAACUCGACUCCAUGAAGUCGGAAUCGCUAGUAAUC
rnacentral:rRNA from 1 species